rnacentral:rRNA from 1 species
CCUACGGGAGGCAGCAGUGGGGAAUAUUGCACAAUGGGGGAAACCCUGAUGCAGCGACGCCGCGUGAGUGAAGAAGUAAUUCGUUAUGUAAAGCUCUAUCAGCAGGGAAGAAAAUGACGGUACCUGAGUAAGAAGCCCCGGCUAACUACGUGCCAGCAGCCGCGGUAAUACGUAGGGGGCAAGCGUUAUCCGGAUUUACUGGGUGGAAAGGGAGCGUAGACGGCAGUGCAAGUCUGGAGUGAAAGGCGGGGGCUCAACCCCCGGACUGCUCUGGAAACUGUACGGCUGGAGUGCAGGAGAGGUAAGUGGAAUUCCUAGUGUAGCGGUGAAAUGCGUAGAUAUUAGGAGGAACACCAGUGGCGAAGGCGGCUUACUGGACUGUAACUGACGUGGAGGCUCGAAAGCGUGGGGAGCAAACAGGAUUAGAUACCCGAGUAGUG